UUCUGUUGUUUAAUUUAAUUUCUUAUUUAGUACAAUAAUUGCAACAAGUUAUUUUUUUAUAUCGUAGAAAGAUAGAUUUCUUUAUUUAUGAAAACGUAAAUGCGAUUAUUGACAUGUAAAUUAACGGUUUUUUUCCUUCCCCAUAAUUGAACCAAUUGAAGUUGUAGCGGUUCGAUUCCUAAUUCCUAUACAUCGAUACGUUUAUUGCGAACGAAUCGUUAUAUUUAUUCCCCGUUCCUCAUAUCUUAUUCAGUAUGUCCCGUCUUUACCGCCGUUAUCGUGCAAUUUUAUCGCGUGCAACAUGAUUCGUAAAAAUAUCUCGCAUCAGGUCUGCUAAGCUUUACGAAGGAAGACACAAGGGAGCACACAAGGGAGUCGCAGUUUAUAUCUUCGGAAUGAGGUUAAGAUCAUACGUGACAACGAAUAGUUGCCGAUCGAGAUACGCUGGACAGAGAAAAAGAUGACAAAAGCAUCGGUGGAAACACACUGCGAUCAUUAUAUCCACGCCAACGCGAUUGGAAAUUAUCUGGCUGUCGAUACAAUCGCUUCAGGGUGGACUUGCUCGAAAGUCAUCGGUAUUCGAUAAGAGCCGAGCCCGUUUUUUACUGGGUCAGUGGAUGUGCCCGCCUCGACCGCGGAUCUAUUCCAACGACAGUGAUCUAUAUUCGCUUUUGCAGUAUUGAGAUCGCUAAAGAUAGCGAUGCGGGACAUCUAAAUUUUCAUUUCGCUGGACCAAAUUCCCUCUUCUUUGCGUCGGCGAAACGUCGCUCUCAUUGAGAUGCACUUUGCCAUGCACUUUCGGACCUAGGUUUCCAAGUGGUAAUUUGCGCUUAUGAUUUCGCGACAGAAAGAGAGAGAAAGAGAAAUCAAAAUUAGAAAUGGAAAUAUACCGGCAGUGGUCGACAUGUAUUUCCAGUGGAGCCUACAUA